CUAAACGACUUAUUUGUAUGAUUAGUUGAAUACUUUCCCAAAGUUGCAUCUAGAUAACAGUUAUUUAGGGCCCGCUGGGUAUGCAGAUGGCGAUGGAUAUGAUUCUUGGUCAAUCAAGGUGCAGGAACCUGUGGAACCUGCACAAUUAUUAGUCAAACCGAUCGUCCUCCGUAAUGCUGGAGUUGAAAUCUGCAUAUUUUUGCUGAUCGUAUGGUCUCGAACCGAUGACAGAUCUUUCAAAUUUCUGCCCUAUUAACUAUUGAUGGUAGUAUAUAGGACUACUGUAAAAGUGGUUGUAACGGGUAACGGGGAAUCCGGUUUCGAUUCCGAAGAGUGAGUCUGAAAAGUGGCUACCACAUCCAAGGAAAGCAGCAGGCGCGUAAACUCCAAAAUCCCGAAACGGGGAGGUAGUGACGAG
rnacentral:ncRNA from 1 species